rnacentral:rRNA from 1 species
AACGAACGCUGGCGGCAUGCCUAACACAUGCAAGUCGAACGAGACCUUCGGGUCUAGUGGCGCACGGGUGCGUAACGCGUGGGAAUCUACCCUCAGGUUCGGAAUAACUCAGAGAAAUUUGAGCUAAUACCGGAUGAUGACGUAAGUCCAAAGAUUUAUCGCCUGAGGAUGAGCCCGCGUAGGAUUAGGUAGUUGGUGAGGUAAAGGCUCACCAAGCCGACGAUCCUUAGCUGGUCUGAGAGGAUGAUCAGUCACACUGGGACUGAGACACGGCCCAGACUCCUACGGGAGGCAGCAGUGGGGAAUAUUGGACAAUGGGCGAAAGCCUGAUCCAGCAAUGCCGCGUGAGUGAUGAAGGCCUUAGGGUUGUAAAGCUCUUUUACCCGGGAUGAUAAUGACAGUACCGGGAGAAUAAGCUCCGGCUAACUCCGUG